CAAAAUUUUUUCUAACUGUUAUUGUGUUUUCUUUUAAAAUCAAAAGUGUUUUUAGAUUGCACGUUUGUUCGGUAUUACCAAGUUACUACCGUGUUGAAAACUUGUUCGUUUGUUCAGCAGUGUAGGAAGGGGAGUUGUUAGCUGUUGUUGUUGUUAGCAUCAUGAAACGACAUCGACCGAUUCCUUCGACAGGUAUCGCUGUGCCUGUGACCAACACACGACCCGUUCUCCGAUCCUCCACUCGUUUCAACCAGAUUGUGCCAACAACGCCCGCAGCUCUAUCAUACAAAGACCUGAUUAGAGUGGUCGGCGUGGAUCCUGAGUCGAAUCCUUUAUACUGGCGCAAAGCGAUCGAUCACUCGGCGGAGACGGUGGUCUUCUUCCAGGUGGAUCUGCGCGGCACACUGCCCCGCAUGUGCAAGAGCGUCCGCAUCUGCCAGGAGGCAGGGGACAGGCAGCGCCUGAUCCCGCGCGUGUACAUUGGGGAGACGCUACUCAGUGGAGAUUACGUGAAGACAAUCAUCGGCAGGCGAUAUCUAGCGGACGAGGACGAUCUGAUGAAGUUGCUGGAGCAUGCGGGAGUGUUGAAGGAAAAUCAGGAACCGGUUGUGGAGGAACAGGAUGAGGAGAACGCGGAUGGUGAUUCGUAUAGUGAAGAAAGGGAGGAUGAUGCUGGUAGUCCGGAGCCUGUGCCAAAACGAGUUAGAUUUGGCGAGAAACUGCAGGCACCACGAACCACACGAAUCAUAUCCCACGAUCGCCGUCCGACUUCCCAUCGCACGGUGACUCUCGCAACGCCUGAUCAUCGAAACACGGAUCUCGGUAAUACGGGCGGUCGCCAUACCCGGGAUCUCGCGCCACUUUUUCCAAUGGACAACAGCGUUAAAGCUCCUAUAGAGACGGGAGUUCCGGAGGAUGUUCCGGACGAAACAGACUUCGAAAUGAGCGUCCUUCCUGUUGACGAUGCCGCUGAUUAUGAGGAUGAUUUACCAUUGGGAGACGAUGUUCCCGGACCAUCCGCAUCGCUCGAAAACGCGGAUGGUCCUACCGGGAAAAUGCCGCCUAUUCGACAUAGCCAGCCGCACCCGGCCGUCGAAGAUAAUCCGGCAAAUAAUUCAGGCGAAGAAGACGAAACGGGUACUGAUGCCAAAUGCGUCAAGGAACCGUUGUAUACUGUUCCACCGGAACUCGUGCGGUUGGGUGACAAAUCAGGAAAAUGGUAUUUCUCGCAGCCCGGUCCGGGAAAGAUUCUCCUGCAUCCGGAUGUGCCGGAUGUGUACGUUGAAGAGGCUGUUCUGCCGUGGUACAAAAAUCAUACCAACAAUAUCGACUUCUACUCGUGGAGCAUGUUCUACACGUUGGUGGGCGGCAUAAAGGGCAUGAACCGGCUGGAAUCCUUGUGGCAUGCCAGACAGCAACGGCAAAUCGUGUAUUUGCUUGGCAAGAAGUUUCUGGAAUCUUUAGAACGUCAUCUGGAAAGUGCAAUGCCAAAGAAGAAAUUAAAAUGUUCCUUGAGUACCCAUCUGGCGUCGCGGUUCGCCUCAUGGCGUAUCAAAAAUGCAAUAAAGGAGUCCAAUAAAGCCAAAUCUGCCAAGAUGCCAAUUCUGGUUGCAAAGGAUUCUUGUGCUGCUAAAAGUCGGUGGCUUGAAAGGAUGUCUUGAUUCGUCAACCAUGGAAAAAUCUUUUGAAUGGGGCAUAGUCUCCGGCUGCGCUUUUUUCCUGUUUGCAUAAUUUCCACGCUGCCGGACAUAUAUGGAGCAAGGGAACACGAUUAUUCAACGAAUGCAGUAUUUUGCUCUUUUUUGGCAGUUGAAACUGCUAUGAUUCUCACAUGGAUUAUGAAUAUAUUUUGCUUUCAUAGUCGCAUUAUCUCAUACCUGGUUCUGUUCUUGGCAACUCGGAAAAGUAUUUGGAAUAACGUCCGCAAAAAUGUAUUUUAAAGACGGCAGGUGUGUGCAAUUACGCAUAACGAAGGGCAGUAAACUUGUUCGAUUUACUACGAGAUUCAUAAUACACGAUGCUCUUGUACGUUCUUCAAAUACAAACUGGACUCCGAGAGGACGAACAUCAUCUUGGGAGCCCACACCCAGGUGGUGAUGACCUUGCCGGCCUUCCCAUGGGUCCGCACGAUCCGCAGGAAAACACUCAGUACAAUCCGCCACUUUUUCUGACACUGAAGACCGCUCUUGAUGGGCUCGCCGUUCUCCACGGCGACGCGGUUGACGGCAGCCGCCACGGUAUCCCAGGCACGCUGUUUGACGUCCGCUGGGCGGCCCGGCACGGUCACUUCACCGCUCCACAGAACGGGGAGGGUUGCCACGGUGUCAAUCAACACACCCACUUCGUCAUGGGAAAACCAAAUGGCGGUUUCGCUGCCGGUAGAUUGGGUUGGAUUCCUUGGUUUUUUAAGCAAAACUGCAAAAGGGUAACAGCUUUCGGAAAAGUAAUUAUCGGAAGUUUCUCGAAGCAGCUACACCCAUUUCAAAUCGCUUUAUAGUUAGGAAGAGGCGUAAAAACUGUGCGUGUUUUAAUAAACAACGUAAAUUUCUUUGUGUUUGCAACGACAGAGAUAGUAAUAAAACAAACCACUUUUAUUCUA